AGAAAAUUGUGUUUUCUUUGUUCACAGAGCACAAAAAAAUAAAGUAAGCUAUUUGCUUUUCUUUAUUUUUUAUUUAUGUUUUGGUAAACUUUCUAAAACAAAUGUGUUUAAAUAUAAUAUAAUUUUGUUCGAUAUUUGAAGAAGUUUUAUUUUAGUACGUGACAGGAAGCAUUGUGCAUGCUUUAAUUUUGAAAACUUGACGCACUUGCUCCGUCAUGUCUGUGACUUGUCGCUACAUGUCUGAGCCAUGGACGGUGUGGCGGUCCUCACCCAGUGGUGGUGGAGCUUUAAAGGGGCUCCAUUGAGCUCCCUGUGGCCGCCCUGAGUGACCCCACAGCCCGCGGAGCAGAGCGGCCGAUGGAAGCUUCACGGAGGAGCUCCGGGUUAACGCUGAGGAUCAUCGAACAUCUGUGGGCUCACCGGAAGAUGGACUUACAAGUGAUGGAUGCUUACUGCUGGCUGGACUUAGACUCUCUGCUGCUCAGUCUGGAGGACUCGGGGAAACUGCGCGUGGCCUCCGCCUUGGUUUACUCCAUCACGAGGAGGCGGGACGUGGCACGCUUUGACAUGGUGAUGGCGUUCUUAGAGGCCACACGCAGACUUUUCCCUGGUGUGGUGACCGCCAUCAAACACAUGAAGAUCAUGUUCGGCAUCAAAACCCUGGUCAUCAUGUGGAUGCUUAGGGAGGAGGAAAGAAUGAUCGAGACUGUGUUGAAAAUUAUCCAGUUCUUCCCCAACAAACUACCACAAUACCAGCAUCAGUGUAGUCAUCAAGAAAUGUUCCUCAUGAGGAGGAACCAUCGGGACUUUAAGGAUUUUGCACUUGUUCUUGCUUUGGACAAGGACAGACGCCAUCACUACAUUCAGACUCAGCUGCAGGAGCAGUACGGUGAGCGCUAUGCACAGAAAGUGGAGGAGAGGCUGCUGCAGUAUCUGCACCAACUGGAAGCUGCACAACCUGCAGACACGUACGUGGAUAGGAUCAUGAAGAAAAACAGUCCCGUGACUGAGGACGAGAAGCUGCUUCUGGAUGUAAUAACGUCUGACUGCACCGAGAUAACAGCAACACUGAAGAACCUGCUACACUGUGAUGCUACUUCCUGUCAUUCGGUAACUCAGGGCAACGCAGAAAUGUCCCCGCUGUCAAAGUCUGAAGUGGCUACGAAACCGUCCGAUGUUGAAUCGGUGGGCUUUAGCGGAGACGAGGACCGUCCUUCAGCCGUAGGACGUCAGCAGUCAUUCUCAGAGAGUCCAGAUCAGGACGGGAUCAGUAAACGUCCUCAUUUCUGCUCCAGACAUCAGCGCUGGGUGACCAGCAUCCUGCAGGAGUGUCAGGACGACGGCCCCAAGGCCAACGUCUCUUCCUCCUCCUCUCCACUGCUGUUCUCAUCGGCUUCAUCAGCAUCGUCACAGGAUCUCACCCCAUCCGGCCUCGUCCCCUCACUCACUGCCCUCCCCCCGCAGACUGACGGGCACAUUCCUGAAACGGAGAAAACUGACGAAAAGCCUGAGGACCGGUUGUUGUCAGCAGUUGUACGACUUGUUGACAUCUCCACUCAUCCCAACUAUAAAGCCUUUGAAGCGUUCACAGUGUAUCAGAACAACCAGGUGGGGGCUCCUCAGGAUGACCAGGACAGAAGAAGAGCAGAUGGUAGCUCUGUGAUGGAGCAGUGCUGUGGGUGGAGGGAUGCCGGGCUGCGGAGGAAACGCACCGUCUCCAAGCUUUCACAGAAGGAAUCUUCCUCCACUGGAACUCAAAAAGCCAGAUCAUCUGGAUCAUCUGGAGUCCUUCGUCACAAUGCUAAUGAACUAAUUCAGACUCCACCCCCACCCUCCACGUUUGUCUCCUCCACCUCCACGUCCGACCCCCGUGUCCUCCGAGCUCGACUGGGAUCUCUGGUUCCCACCCAGGUGGCCUUAGGUCAGCCGUACGUGUGCGUGAGCAGGCUGAGUGUGGAACAGUGUGUCAGAGCGAUGGUUCCAUACACACACCCAGAACCAGAGGAGCAGGAGGAGCAGACGGACUUAUCGUUUGACAUCAACGAGCUGUACUCAGGCAGCGACGGGGACGACUCGUUACUUCGGGAGGACCCCGACUAUAAACCAUGGAUGAAGAAGAAAAGACUUCUUCUGGAAUAUGAGAAUGCUAAGGAGCACAGUUGGGAGCAUGAAGAAACUUAAAAGUUAAAAAAAAAAAAAAAAAAUUAUUUAAUCAAAAGUUCUGCAAAAAUGAAGAUUUUGCUCUUUUUUUUUUUUUGGUGCUUUAUUUAUUUUGGCCACCAAGUCGAAUGCUCCCAUCCUGUAACUGUGCAGCUAGCUUGCUAACGAGUAAUUAGGUGUGUUGGAGGACUGACAUCUCAAUCGUGCAGGAUUACAACCAAGUUUGGAUCCCAUUGGGAUGGAUUAACAACUGCUUUAGACUAACGCUGUACAAAUAUUAACCACUUUAACUGGAUGGUUAUAGGAUAACAUUAAACUGACUAUGAGCCAGUUAAUUAUGACCAGCUUCAAAUUGAAUUGAAUGCAGUCGGGUACAGAUUAGUGCAGGAGAGUUUAAAUAGUUCAUAAUCCCCAGUUGCAUGUUUUUAAUUUAGGACUGGUUGAACCAGUGCGUACACAAUGCUGGAUCGGGUUUAGACUCAUAAUGAAGGAGUUUACAGGACAUUUAAUUUUAAACCCUGGUUUGUAGAUAUAUCAUAGCUUAUGUAGUCUUUGUAGAUAUAUCAUAGCUUAUGUAGUCUUUGUAGAUAUAUCAUAGCUUAUGUAGUCUUUGUAGAUAUAUCAUUGUAGAUAUAUCAUAGCUUAUGUAGUCUUUGUAGAUAUAUCAUAGCCUAUGUAGUCUUUGUAGAUAUAUCAUUGUAGAUAUAUCAUAGCUUAUGUAGUCUUUGUAGAUAUAUCAUAGCUUAUGUAGUCUUUGUAGAUAUAUCAUAGCUUAUGCAGUCUAACACAGUUUCUCUGUCUUUCUAUCAGCCAACAUGUAGCAGUACGCAGGUGAUGUAUUUAUUAUUACUGCUGAUAUUGUACAGCAGGACAUUGAUCAUGAUGACAAACCCAGAGAAAAUCACAGAAAUAUAAUCAGUAACACACACUGAAUCAUCUGCGCAGUUAUUGUCCUAAUCUUUUCACACACAUAAAAUAAACUGAUUAAGAGCUAAACCGGAGUGUAAAAA
rnacentral:lncRNA from 1 species